rnacentral:lncRNA from 1 species
GCCAUAAUUCAGAAAGAAGAGACAGGAUUUUAUUUAUCUUUACAUCCCUGUCACCCUCCCCAUGAAAUAAUUUUAAUAUACAUAAAAACCAGUGAUAGAUAUAUAGACAGGAUGAUGUCAGAGCUUAGAGGACACUUUCUGUGCAGGCCCUCAGAUAAUUCAUUCAAAUUGAAUUAGUUAUUGGAUGCCCACUGUGUUGCACAGCACAUUAUACUGAUGAAGUAUAAGAUUGACUUCCUGACUGUACAGCUUUACAAUUUAGGUGGUGGUGGUUGGGGCGAAAUGAAAUGGCAAAAUGACAAUUUAGGAUUGUAUUUCUUGUUCCAGAUGGGUGACUUACAAAGCUUAUAAAAACAAGGCUUUCAGAUAAACUUCUGUGAAAAGGCACAAAAAAUGAUAGGUUUGCAGUGCGGCCUGCUUUGAUACAUAUGGAAGAAUUUAACAAUGGAGGCUGGGACAGCGGAACCUGUUAGAACUUAAUUAUGUGGUGGAGGGGCAUAUGUAUUCCCACUUUGAUUAUUCACCUUGAUUGCCCUCACUGUCUCUUUACACUGUGGCUACUUUCUGCUGGCUUUUCACAUCUCUCUUUUUAUUUCUGCCUCUUCCCAUUGGAAGGCUCCUCUUUAUUUUCCAGUUUUGGGAUUCAACACAGUUAUUUAUAUACAUUCACGAAAUCACAUAUUGGACACCUAGAAACCAUACAGUAAGCGAGAUUCUUGGUACAGAAAUGAAUGGAAUAGGCCCCUGCCGUUAGCAAGCUCAUAGUUUAGUGGACUAGAGUUGAUCCUACAUUGAUUACAUAAGUGUUCAACCACCGAUGUUACAUACUAAUUGAUUUUUAACUGGAACCAGGGUGAGGAUGGUGCAGGAGUGGAUCUGUCCUGGUCACCUUUGCUCCUGCUGUUCUCUCAUGAGAGAGAAUGAGCAUAAAGGGUGCUGAGAGUCUCAUGAUAACUGCUUUCUUGAUUGGACACUGUGUCUUAGGGAUCCAACAAUGGGCCUACCCUGCUUUGGAGUUAAGCAGAUGUGUCUGUGCUGGCUCAGACCUCAGUGAAAGACUCAGGGAAUGGGAGUGCACACAUCAGGGAGGGGAGCUGGAGACUUGGUAGAGAUGGCUAGCCCUAAAUUGACAGUAUUUAUUUUUGUACUAUCAGUACCUAUAUUUUAGUAUAAGUUCUCAGUUGCUUACAUAUAUUAGCACUUCUUCUAAAUCUGGUCCUGUGAUUUGCAUGACUUAAAAAAUUAGAAGUGCAAAUCUGUAAUGUUUGCAGACAAUCUGCUGGUUUGCUCUGGAAUAUAGACAUUAACUUUAUGGUAAAAGUGGUCACACUUUUCUUUAAAAUUGGGCUUGGGCUGGGCACGGUGGCUCAUGCCUGUAAUCCCAGCACUUCGGGAGGCCACGGCGGGCAGAUCACCUGAGGUUGGGAGUUCAAGACCAGCCAGACCAACAUGGAGAAACCCCGCCUCUACUAAAAAUACAAAAUUAGCUGGGCGUGGUGGCACACGCCUGUAAUCCUAGCUAUUUGGGAGGCUGAGGCAGGAGAAUCGCUGAACCUGGGAGGCAGAGGUUGCAGUGAGCCGAGAUUGUGCCAUGGCACUCCAGCCUGGUCAACAAGAACAAAACUCCGUCUCAAAAUAAAUAAAUAAAUAACUCCAUAUCAAAAUAAAUAAAAUAAAAAUAAAGGCUUGAAAUCAUCAAAGGACUGAUUUCUCCACUGUUGGGGCACACUUAUUUCUAGAAUCUCCACUUUUAUUCUAAGGAUAUUUCAGAAUUAUCAGAUAAACUUAUGUUUAAUUUAUUAAAAAGAAUUAUGUAUCAUACAGUAGUUGUAGGAGGGUAUGGGGCAAAGAGCAUGAAAUUAGAUAUCAUUCAAGUCUGAUAAGUCUGAGUACUGGCUGCUUCAAAUGCUCAAAUCUAUCACAAAUAAAAAAGAUUUAUUGUAAGAUGAUUCUGAUGACUAAUGGAAGCUCUGAAGGAUUAAUUUUUUUCAUUGACUUUCACAUAGUUUUUGCUCUUUAUAUUGCUAUGUCACUCUCUUUUAAUCACUUUAUUACAGUUGCCUGUUACAAGUCAGUGGAGUUUUAUUGGAGAUGUGUGUGUGUGUGUUUACAUGCACAAAUAGCGAUUACAUAUUUAAUUUGGGAAACAUCUCUGUAGAAAUUCAAUAAAAAUUCACUCUGCUCCUCACAGUCUUCCUUUUAUAGAUUAUAG